UGAGGCUUGUUUCGCAUUGAAGAGAGCUGGGAGAGAUUGCCUUUUCGAAAUGCCAUAAAGGCGUAAAUAAAUGAUUGGCUUCGAGGUCAAUCGUUGUAUGAGUUGAUCAUUGUUGGAUGUUGUGUCCCCCAUCAUAGAUCCAUUUUUGUCAUGUAUAUUUUAGAACCUUAUUUGAGACACUUGAACAAUUGCUAUUUUAUAUCAGAAGCCUUUUUCCAGCUAUUACUAAGGUCACAAGAAGAGUUGGUUUUCAUCGAGAUUACCCGGUUUAACCAUGUAUUGCAUCCUGUUUGAAGUACCAUUUGGUUGGAGCUCUAACAAGAUAUAUAACCUGAUGAAUGUCUUCAUUAACUCUAUUUCACACUAAUCAGAUACUUGCUCUGAUCCAACUCCUGUCAGGUUUAUUUAUAGUUAAAGAAAAGCAAAGUGGUUGCUUUGGUCAAAUGAAUUCAGUUGGAUGAGUCAGCUUUGAAUCAUAAAGCUUCCCAGUUGGAGAAGAGACUUUAAUGGAUCUCUCACUGCAGAAGGCAAUUCUAUGAUCAGAAAGAAAGAGGAGUCCGGCUAUUGGCCCAGCUGUUGUCGAUAAAUAGCAUUGAAAAGCCUUUAGCAAUUUCUCAUCAUCUCUAAUAUUGAAGUUUUGUUUGAACACAUUGGCCACUCCUCCAACCUGAAGGAUUCUUGCCCCCAAGCUCAACUUUCCUUUCACGGUUUCACUUAACUUUGGCCCCAACUUCACUGCAGCAUGGCCUGCAAGCACGAAGUUGUGGACGUCCGGAACUUUUCACGUCUGAUGUGUUGACAUGGGAGCCAAAGUUUGGCUUGAAGUCUCUCAUCUGACUUGAUGGAUGGCCUGCUGGAUAAACUUCAAAGUCCUUUGAUGAUUGAGAAAGCCCAUGAACCAGAACUCGAAAUUGUCUUCUGUUACUAAUUGCACAUACUUUUGUGUUGGGUUUAUCACAUUCUCACUUUCAGUGGCUCUCCUUAUUCUUCUCAAAGGAAUCAUGACCUAAGAUACCAUGAAUAAUUUCAGAAUUUCCUAUUUUAAGCCCAAAAUAUUCUUAUUUGAUCAUAAGGAUGCAUGGUCUAACUCACCUUGUAAUGUACUUUUAGCAGCUUCCCAGUUGGAGAAGACACUUUGAUGGAUCUCUCACUGCAGAAAGCAACUCUAUAAUCUGAAACAAAGAGGAGUCCGGCGACCGGUCCUGAUGUUGUUGAUAAGUAGCACUGACAAGCCUUCAACAGUUUCUCGUCAUCUCUAAUAUCAAACUUCUGCCUGAACACCUUCUCCACUCCACCAACCCGGAGAAUUCUUGCCCCCAAGCUCAGCUUUCCUUUCACUGUUUCGCUUAGCUUUGGGCCUAAUCUCACUGCAGUAGUUACCAUGCUCCCGGAUUCCCUGAGCCAAAACAUCCAUGCUUGUUCCCAGUUUGAUCAUCCUUGCAACAACCGAAUCAAUUUUACCUGCAUUUCAUCGAAACAAACCACAAUCAGUAAACUCAAAGCUUCAAAUGCCGCGCAUUCUUUUUAUCAAUCCAGAAAGGAAGGGGCUCUUCACCAUGUCGAAUUUUGGAAUAGCGUUGCGAAGGCGAAGGCAGGAGCUGGUACUGAUCAGCAGGAUCAGGUAAAAGUAAAUUCUGGGAGUUCCUAUCUUGUGGAAAUGAUGCAUAGUCUAAUGAGGAAUUCCAUAUUUAUAAGUGAGGGAAAAGGAAAGGGCUAUUUGGGAUUCAUUUUUUGGGCAACUGGAUGAGUCAGCUUUGGAUCAUCAAAACCAUUAA